rnacentral:lncRNA from 1 species
CCCAGCCUUAUGGCUUUAAUUUACCUAGCAUGACAAAAACAAAUCAUAGCCACAAUUAGGCCUUAUGGAAGUUAACAUAUCAACAAGAAAUUUAGAAUAUCUAUCAUUAUAAUAGUAAACAGCCUUGUAUGUCAAUUCCAGUUUCUCUUCAAAAUUGAAGUGGGAAUGAAAUGAAUAAGGAUCUAAAUUAACUCACCCUUGAUAGCUUGAUGAUUGGGUUGGCUUUGUUGCUGAUAAUCUCCUCCCUCUCCAACUGGAAUCACUUUCUCUUCUUCACUAAAUAUGCUUUUGGAGCUCAAAUAAGUGGUGUAACCAUCUGAACUUGGGUGAAACAUUGGGGUUAUAUGGCUGAGUUCUCUAUCUUCAGUCAGUCACCUUCCUGACCACUUAUAAGCUUGGCCCCUAUUCUUCUCCAUCAUUACCCUACCCGGUAUUAGCUUCAAUUCAGCCCCUCUAACUUGCCUCCUAUCAGUCUACUCAUAGCAGUUAGUUGGCCCCUAUAACUACCUGACACCCUUGGUCUUUGCAGUGUACUUGACCCCUAAUAGCCAAC